rnacentral:tRNA from 1 species
GAGGAAUGGCAGAGCGGUUGAAUGCACUGGUCUUGAAAACCAGCGUACCGAGAGGUACCGGGGGUUCGAAUCCCUCUUCCUCC